rnacentral:rRNA from 1 species
UACGUAGGUGGCAAGCGUUGUCCGGAUUUAUUGGGCGUAAAGAGCUCGUAGGCGGUUCGUCGCGUCGGCUGUGAAAACCCGGAGCUCAACUCCGGGCCUGCAGUCGAUACGGGCGGACUCGAGUUCGGCAGGGGAGACUGGAAUUCCUGGUGUAGCGGUGAAAUGCGCAGAUAUCAGGAGGAACACCGGUGGCGAAGGCGGGUCUCUGGGCCGAUACUGACGCUGAGGAGCGAAAGCGUGGGGAGCGAACAGG